rnacentral:rRNA from 1 species
AUUGAACGCUGGCGGCAGGCUUAACACAUGCAAGUCGAGCGGGGGAAGGUAGCUUGCUACCGGACCUAGCGGCGGACGGGUGAGUAAUGCUUAGGAAUCUGCCUAUUAGUGGGGGACAACAUCUCGAAAGGGAUGCUAAUACCGCAUACGUCCUACGAGAGAAAGCGGGGGAUCUUCGGACCUUGCGCUAAUAGAUGAGCCUAAGUCGGAUUAGCUAGUUGGUGGGGUAAAGGCCUACCAAGGCGACGAUCUGUAGCGGGUCUGAGAGGAUGAUCCGCCACACUGGGACUGAGACACGGCCCAGACUCCUACGGGAGGCAGCAGUGGGGAAUAUUGGACAAUGGGGGGAACCCUGAUCCAGCCAUGCCGCGUGUGUGAAGAAGGCCUUAUGGUUGUAAAGCACUUUAAGCGAGGAGGAGGCUACUCUAGUUAAUACCUAGGGAUAGUGGACGUUACUCGCAGAAUAAGCACCGGCUAACUCUGUGCCAGCCGCCGCGGUAA